rnacentral:rRNA from 1 species
UACGAAGGGGGCUAGCGUUGUUCGGAUUUACUGGGCGUAAAGCGCACGUAGGCGGAUCGUUAAGUUAGGGGUGAAAUCCUGGAGCUCAACUCCAGAACUGCCUCUAAUACUGGCGAUCUAGAGUCCGGAAGAGGUGAGUGGAACUCCUAGUGUAGAGGUGGAAUUCGUAGAUAUUAGGAAGAACACCAGUGCGAAGGCGGCUCACUGGUCCGGUACUGACGCUGAGGUGCGAAAGCGUGGGGAGCAAACAGG